rnacentral:lncRNA from 1 species
AUGUGUGGUGCCAGUGGCCAGCACCCCAUGAGAUGCAAACAUCAGGGGAUCCAGCUAAUACCUCAUUCCCCCUUGGGGCCUGGCCUAGACUGGGUAUGUGGGGUGUGUGUGUGUGUGUGUGUGUGUGUGUGUGUGUGUGUGUGUGUGUAUUUGUUCAUCUAUCUAUCCAUCCAUCCAUCCAUCCAUCCAUCCAGGGAUUCAUUCAUUCUACAUGCCAAAUGUGGGCCAGGCUCAAGGGACCCAGAGAGGAGAGCCCUCUGGGAGUCCCCAGUCUGGUAGAGGAAGCAGGAGUAGACACAAUGAGAGCACAUUAGAAACAGGCACAAUCACAGAUGGAAGCCAGGUGCUGUGGGUGCCCCAAGGAGGAAUUGCCUCGGGUGGAUUAGGGAAGACUUCCCAGCUAAGGCUUGGAGCACAGGUAGGAGUUCAUUUGGUGCUAAUAGUAGAAGUCGUGGCCAGGUGCAGUGGCUCACGCCUGUAA